rnacentral:rRNA from 1 species
GAAGCGGCAACAGCUCAAAUUUGAAAUCUGGCGCAAGCCCGAGUUGUAAUUUGUAGAGGAUGCUUCUGGGCAGCGGCCGGUCUAAGUUCCUUGGAACAGGACGUCAUAGAGGGUGAGAAUCCCGUAUGUGACCGGCUGGCACCCUCCACGUAGCUCCUUCGACGAGUCGAGUUGUUUGGGAAUGCAGCUCUAAAUGGGAGGUAAAUUUCUUCUAAAGCUAAAUACCGGCCAGAGACCGAUAGCGCACAAGUAGAGUGAUCGAAAGAUGAAAAGCACUUUGGAAAGAGAGUUAAAAAGCACGUGAAAUUGUUGAAAGGGAAGCGCUUGCAACCAGACUUGUGGGCGGUGUUCCGCCGGUCUUCUGACCGGUCUACUCGCCGUCUACAGGCCAGCAUCAUCUGGGGCCGCCGGAUAAAGGCUUGGGGAAUGUAGCUCUCUUCGGGGAGUGUUAUAGCCCCUCGCACAAUACGGCGCGCCCCGGGUGAGGUCCGCGUCUCGGCAAGGAUGCUGGCGUAAUGGUUGUAAGCGGCCCGUCUUGAAACACGGACCAAGGAGUCGAUUAUCUAUGCGAGUGUUCGGGCGUCAAACCCCUACGCGUAAUGAAAGUGAACGGAGGUGGGAACCUUUACCGGUGCACCAUCGACCGAUCCGGAUGUCUUCGGAUGGAUUUGAGUAAGAGCAUAGCUAAUCGGACCCGAAAGAUGGUGAACUAUGCCUGAAUAGGGUGAAGCCAGAGGAAACUCUGGUGGA